GUCCUCCGCAUUGGGACGUCCAUAUCGGUCGGAUCGGGAUCGGCGACCAUGUUCUGGUUUGACCGUUGGGCGGGAGACCCCCCUUUUGCGGCUCUCUUCCCCGACCUCUUCUCCAUUGUUGUUGUCCCGACAAUCUCCGUGGAACGGGCCCUUAUUAACUUAGGGCGCCUCGUGUUCCGGAGGCCAUUUGGGCCUCCGGAAGCUGCCGCUUGGCAGGAACUUCUCGACUGCAUUGCUCUCCAUGAGCCGGCUGUCGAUGCAGGCCCGGAUGAGGUCAGGUGGCGUCUUGAGCCCUCGGGCCAAUUCUCCAACAAAUCCCUCUACUCGGCCAUUGCCCUCCUCCGCCCCGGCCCCCUCCCGGCGGUGUGGCCCAUUCGUCUGCCCCUGAAGAUCCGGAUCUUCAUGUGGCAAUGGAUCCGUGGGAAGCUCCCGUCUGGGGUCGAGGUCCGCAAGCGCAAUGGCCCCGGUUCCGGUAUUUUCCCUCUCUGUGGCACUCUCGAGGAUUUGAACCACAUCUUCUUCGAGUGCGUGCCUACUCAGUUCGUUUGGAGUUGUUUUAGAGAGGCUAUGGGUGGAGAUUGGUGCCACACCAACUUCCCCGACCUCUUCGCUGAACUCCAGACCUUCCCUCUGCCUACUCGCCACAUUAGGUGGCUUGAGAUUGGGGCUAUCGCGUGGACUCUCUGGACGAUUCACAAUAAACUUGUGAUUCAGCGCUCUCCUCUUCAACGGGCUACUGACGCUCUUUUCAAACUGUCUGGUUACUUGCAGCUUUGGCGGCCACUUAGUCGCCCUCGGGACCGGGACGCCAUCUCUGCCUUCAUCGCCGACCUUCGAUCGAUGGCCGUUCACCUGUCGCCGCCGCCCCCACCGCCCCCUCCAGAGCCUGAUUAG
rnacentral:rRNA from 1 species